AGAGCGAACGCUGGCGGCAGGCCUAACACAUGCAAGUCGAGCGCCCCGCAAGGGGAGCGGCAGACGGGAGAGUAACACGUGGGAACGUACCCUUCAGUUCGGAACAACCCAGGGAAACUUGGGCUAAUACCGAAUACGUCCGUAAGGAGAAAGAUUUAUCGCUGAAGGAUCGGCCCGCGUCUGAUUAGCUAGUUGGUGAGGUAACGGCUCACCAAGGCUACGAUCAGUAGCUGGUCUGAGAGGAUGAUCAGCCUCACUGGGACUGAGACACGGCCCAGACUCCUACGGGAGGCAGCAGUGGGGAAUAUUGGACAAUGGGCGCAAGCCUGAUCCAGCCAUGCCGCGUGGAUGAUGAAGGCCUUAGGGUUGUAAAGUCCUUUCGACGGGGAAGAUAAUGACGGUACCCGUAGAAGAAGCCCCGGCUAACGUUCGCGCCAGCAGCCGC
rnacentral:rRNA from 1 species